GCAGUCGUGGCGGGGUGGUUAAGGCGAUGAACUAGAAAUCCAUCGGGGUCUCGCCCGCGCAGGUUCGAGUCCUGCCAACCGAG
rnacentral:tRNA from 1 species